rnacentral:rRNA from 1 species
CGCCUAUUAAAAGGGAACGUGAGCUGGGUUUAGACCGUCGUGAGACAGGUCGGACUUUAUCUGCUGGGAGUGCUGGCUGCCUGAGGGGAAAGGGUCCCCAGUACGAGAGGAACGGGACGCUGUGGCCUCUAGUUAACCGGUUGUCCGAUAGGGCAUACGCCGGGCAGCCACGCCGUCGAGGAUAAGGGCUGAAAGCAUCUAAGCCCGAAGCCUCUCCCGAAAAUAGGCAGCCAUUCCCCCAAACGGCUGGGCUGGUAACAGCUUGGCUUGAGGGGACGAGGGCUCCCAUAGAAGAUGGGUUUGAUGGAGCCGGGGUGUAAGCCGGAAGGCUUCGGCCGACCGGUUCAGCCUGCGGCCUCCAACCGCUCGAGAUGUCGGGCGU